rnacentral:rRNA from 1 species
CCUACGGGUGGCAGCAGUGGGGAAUAUUGCACAAUGGGCGCAAGCCUGAUGCAGCCAUGCCGCGUGUGUGAAGAAGGCCUUCGGGGUGUAAAGCACUGUCAGCGGGGAGGAAGGCGUUAAGGUUAAUAACCUUGGCGAUUGACGUUACCCGCAGAAGAAGCAGCGGCUAACUCCGUGCCAGCAGCCGCGGUAAUACGGAGGGUGCAAGCGUUAAUCGGAAUUACUGGGCGUAAAGCGCACGCAGGCGGUCUGUCAAGUCGGAUGUGAAAUCCCCGGGCUCAACCUGGGAACUGCAUUCGAAACUGGCAGGCUAGAGUCUUGUAGAGGGGAGUAGAAUUCCAGGUGUAGCGGUGAAAUGCGUAGAGAUCGGGAGGAAUACCGGUGGCGAAGGCGGCCCCCUGGACAAAGACUGACGCUCAGGUGCGAAAGCGUGGGGAGCAAACAGGAUUAGAUACCCGAGUAGUC